GCACCAUAUGGCCAGCACUUGUCACAGGUGGCAGGCAUUUGGCUCCUUCAUAAGCACUGCUCCAGCUGUACCUACAGGCUUCUAGAGCUUGAAAGAAACUGCUCCUUUGGGCUCACUCCUCAGGAGGUUCUGCUUGAGUUCCUCCUGUUGUCUGGAUUCUGGAAUCUUGGCAAUGUCUGCAGAGUUGAUCUUCAAGGUUCCUAGAGAUGUUGUGAAUCUCACCUUACACGGCUCCCACAUCCAGUGGAGUUUCACCGUGCUGUGGGGUAGAGCAGGUUUUACUCUAGUUAGGGAUGUUCUGCUACACAGUUUAAAGCAUUAGGCUGCCUUCAGCCCAGCACAGGAGGGAGGGAAGCUGGUUAGGUCUGAAUGUCGUUACCUGGAGUGAUUAUUUCAGAAGCAAGGGUGGGAGCUUGAUUAAAUUAUCAUAUUUUAGGCUGAUAAGGAAAUGGUCCUAACUAACAGCAUCAACUAUUCCAAUUUACUUGAUCUGAGCCAUUGGGGUCUAGGUCAGCAGGUCAUCAUCAACUGAGAGAGGAUGAUCUCUACUUUAAUGAGGAAAAAUGGCUUAUUUUUGUCUUACAGAUGGCAGCGGAUAUGACUCAUAUCAGUGGAUAUGUCUAUCUGCUCUGUCUGGGAUCUUAGACUGCGGUGAUCCCACAGUGUACAUUUCCUGGUGUCUGUUGAGGUGAGCCAAGGGAUCCAAAUGCAUGCAUGCACACUUGUACUUGAUGUGACUGCACAAACCGUGUUUCCAGAGGGAAUUAGGCCACAGCGAUAUGAUGACUCUAAGGCCAUGAAGAACUUCAGUUCAGAGAUCUUGCAAGAUAACAGACUCAGAAGCAGGAGAUGUCCUCUAUUUAAUUUUUACAUGUUGAUUUUAAGUUCUGUUCAAAAAAGUUACUUUACUUUUCAUUUUC